rnacentral:lncRNA from 1 species
UGCUAGAGAGAGAAGAAGGAGAAGAAGAGGAAGGAGAAGAAGAGGAGAAGGAUCUAGCUUGGGCUUGGAGCAUCCCUUUGCCUUUCUUCCUCUUCCCACCUUGUUGGUGCUUGAAGGCUUGGACUUGGAGCUUGCAAAGGAGAAGAUCUUCACCCUUUGAGCUUGGAUUGGAGCUUCUUAGAGGUUGGUAGCCCUUUUUCUCCGUCUAGACCUUGGAUUUGAGAUUUUAUUGUAUUGGAAUCCUAGAAUGAGGUUUUAGGGUUGAUUUUGGGGCUUUUUGAUCUAGGGCUUUUGAGGCUAGAUUGAUUGGAUUAGAACCUUCCUUGGGCUUGGAUUGGAAGGGUUCUAGCUCUCUUUUAGAGCUUUGGAAGAGAUUUCUUCUCUUGAGGUGAGUUUUAGCCCUUUUGUUAGGUUGUUAAAGUUUGACCUUAUAGAUUGAUCGUAAUGCCCG